GCUGAGAGCAGUGCUGAUAGUGCUCGAGAGGAACUGGAGGCUGUGAAAGAAGAGGGGGGGGAGGAGAGGAGGCUCUGGUGUGUGCCCCAGAGAAGAGGAGAGGGGGCCUUCAGGUGCUCACAGUGCUGGGAGGGAUCCCAUGUUCGGACCCUGGGCUGGGUGAAGCUUCCCUUGGGCUUGAGCAGUUCUGUCCGAACCGAACCGAUUGCCAUGGCACAACCUGCGUUGGAACGAGUCCUGGUUAGCGCUGGGUGCAGCGCGCUGCUGGAAGAGCCCGCGUGGCGCACGCAGAAUUGCUCUGAUGAGCACACGGCGUGUGUCUUGGGAAACAGGAGCAUGCUAUUGUUCUGCAAGGAGGAGAAUGUGUUAAUGCUUCAUUGCAGUGAUAUCUUGCAAACGUUACAGGCACCAGCGACCUGAUAAUUAGAUGGAGAAUUGAAGAUCUUUGACAGUGCUGCUAAUCAACAUCUCAGUGCUGGCUUUCUACUAUGCCUGACCAAAAAAAAGGACGUGUGCUUAUCGACUGCAGGGGUGUCCGUGUGAUUGUAACCAUGUAAGUUCACAAACAAGGACUGUAAUUAACCAUGACUGUAUUAUUGGAUAUGUGCAUGUGUAAUUAACAAAGCAGAUAUUUUUGUGUAUGUGGCUCUGCUCACUUGUUCAUGAAAACUCUCCACUAUUUUCAUCAGAAUAUUAAGGUUAAUUAAAAUUAAUUCUGUUUGUAUUGACUGCCUUUUCACUUCUGCAAAGUUUGUGCAAAUCAAAUGUGUGGCUAGGGCCGCCUUCCCUAUAAAAUCCAUAAAGUUUGCUUUCAGAGCUGGGGGAAAGAGGAAUCAAAAUUGCAGGCUGUUUGAAAUUUAAAUCAGAGCAAUGCUGGUCAAUAGCAUCAAGGUUAUAAUGCCCUGCGAGAUUCUGAUUGGGCAUUGCCAGGUGCAUGCCGGGUGACAAGGACAUUAAAGGCCAGUUGAAUGGAAUCUUAGGAUUUAUGUUCUUUCAGUUUGGAUUGAAUGCUGGGGUUCCUGGCUGAAAAAUCAUGGAAAGCCAUGAUCUCUUUUCAUAAAGUAGAAUUAUAUAGGUUCGUUUUUUGGAUGAUGUUCCGCCUGUGUAGAGGGGGAGCACGAGACCGCUGUUUGUACUCUGCUAAUGCCAGAAUUCCCCAGCUGAGAUGAGAACUUUCUCAUAUUAACCACUGAACGAGUAUGUAGCAAGAUACAGAGGUUGUCCUGAAGAGUUUGCAAUCUUAGUAAACGGCACUGAUGCACUACGUGAGAAGGGAAUUGUAUGCAUGACUUGUGGUCAUGUUGCGAGCUACAAACACUACAGUGGGCUCUCCCGAGAGCUGGCAGUAAACCCAGUAUUCCUGACACCCUGUCUGCACUCCUUCCAGUGCUUUCCCGGCUUCUGUGUUUCUAGAAGAUGAUUAAGUGGGUUACAGGCUGAAUAGACUGAGCUCUCUUUCGAUCAAUCAGUGAGAGCUCUCAUUAAUUUUAAUCUGAAGUAAACGGCAGUAUAGCAGUUUCUAUGUUUUUGAUAAUAUAUUACAUUACUUUUUGAUGUUUCUAUUUCUUUUUAAAUCUAGGAAAGCCUAGGUUCCAUUUUAGAACCUUUGACAGAUACAGAGAUUGAAGGGGAUUAUUGGACAAGGAGUAAUGGCUUUAAAAGAGGGUAGAUUUAGAUUAAAGAAUUUCUUCCUUAUAUCUGCUUGGAGGGUGGUGAGGCACUGGAACAGAAUUCCCAGAGAAGCUGUGGAUCCUCCAUCCCUGGAGGUGUUCAAGGCCAGGUUGGAUGGGGCUUUUUGUAACUUGGUCUGGUUGAAGAUGUCCCUGCCCACAGCAAAGGGCUGGAACUAGAUGAUCUUUAAGGUCCCUUCCAACCCACACCAUCCUAUGAUAGGAAAUGGAAGGGUAGCUUGGAGAGUUUAUCUGGGUGUUGCUCCUUAAAUACUCAACUAUUUCAGCUGUUACGCAUGUUGCUUGAACAGGUCCACAAGCUUGCCAGAGCCUUCAGGUGGAUUUGGCGCUGCCUCUUCCUUAAAGUGACCUCUUCAUAAAGAGAUUUUAAGCUACAGAAGCUGUGUUUGAUUAGGCUGCAAACUAAGACAAUCACAGAAUGGGUUGGGUUGGAAGGGACCUUAAUCACCUAAUUCCAGCCCUUUGUCCUGGACAGAGAUAGGUAAGAGUCUUUGUAACAGGGGAAAAAGUCAGAUUAACAAAUACGAAUUGAGGUUAGAAUGUAAUAUAACAAGGCUGACAUUAAACACCUCCCCGUUUCCCCUCUCACAUGAAUAGACAUUCUGUUUCAGGUUUGCUUGGAUUUCAGCAGUUUGCUGACAUUUUGGAUGACGACAAAGUCAUUGCACUCCUGCCUAAGUACCUAGGAAAAUGAUUUCCCUCUGAGGACCCCUGUGUCUUUCUCCUAGUUCCUCCUUGCUUUGUUGCUGUCCUUCCUUGCCUGCAGGCUCCUGGCUGCUGGUAGGUCUCAUUCUCUCCAUCCCUCCCUCCCUGCGCUCCUUGAGUGGGACCCGUGCGGCAUCGUCCCACGGAGCUCAGAGGGACCCACCUGGUCUGCGGGGACACGCUGCCUGCCAGCUGCCCAGCCGGAAGGAGGGAGAACAUUGCGUACAGUCAGGUGCAAAUACCCCAAACUAAUGCUGUCCAGCACAUUUGCCACUUAACUUCUCAAUCUUUGAACCUCGUGAUUAACGCGUGGAGAGGAUAUAGGUGGUUCGCAGUUCUCGCAGCUAUUGUUGCAGACUGUCUGCAGGCUCAGGAGUACACUUCUAUGUGGCCUUACUCUUGAUUUAUGUUCCUUUGGUUUAUUCCCUAGGGAGGGAAAUCUCUACAGGGUGUAAAUCAGACUUUUUUUUUUUUUUUGCAAGGCUCUGGCUCGUAAUUCUUUCAAGUGUAAAUCUGAACAUAAUUCUGCAACAAGGUUGGGGUCUAUAGCUAAUCACGUAGCUACGGGCUUUAUAUCUCUGUAAAGCUUUAGGCCAUUUCUGUAGAAAUAUACAGAUCAUCUUCCAAAGAAUAAAAUAGUAAUGUCCUACA
rnacentral:lncRNA from 1 species